GGAUGGAGCACAAUGUUCUCCUCCAGCACAGGGAUAUGAAGUGGUGAGAUCUGGAUGGGGAUGAUGACAGCUCCCAGAAUUAAACUGGGAUCCAGCUGGGAAUGGCUCAGAGGGACACACCAGCAGAGGGAUUGGUUUGGUGGCAGGGGCUUAAUCUUUGAGACCCAAACCAUUCUAUGAUUUCAUUUAAAAAGCACUGAAGGCAUGCAAAGCUUUGAAAAGUUGGAAUUUCCUGGGAAAGUAUUUGAACAAAUUUUUUUUUUUUCCUCUUGAAACAGAUAGAUUGUGUAAGAACUUCUGGGAAACAGCAAGGCUAAAAGCCCCCUGUACUGCUGAUAAGCAGACACUCCCCCGAGGCUUAUCUCAUCUUAAUUUGUCAGGGGUGUGUGUUUUAACUACUUAAUCAUUCCAUAAAAGACUUUCUCUCAUUUACAACAUUCACUCCUCUUCAAGCCCUAUUUCUCCUGUUCUCACCUCCAGGAAUUCUAAGCAGAAACUUCACCUGAGCAGGCCAUUCACAGAGGGGAUGGAGCAGGUUAUUCACAGGAGGGGAUGAAGCAGGUUAUUCACAGGAGGGGCUGGAGCAGGUUAUUCACAGGAGGGGAUGGAGCAGGUCAUUUGCAGAGGGGCUGGAGCAGGUUAUUUACAGAGGAGCUGGAGCAGGUCAUUUUCAGAAGGAGCUGUUUGCCCAUCCCAGGCAGGGAUGCAUCCCGCAGUUCCAGCCGGGAGCUGCAGAUGGCAGGGUUGAACUGCAUAGCCCAGCAUCUCCCGCUCCUUGCUCCUCAGACCAGCAAACGCCUUCAGCACAGGCGCCAAGGCACAGCAGCACCGCGUACGUGACACUGGAACACCUCGCUCAAAGCUUGCUUUGGAGCUGUUAAACCCCUCUUGAAAAAUA
rnacentral:lncRNA from 12 species